rnacentral:rRNA from 1 species
ACACGUAGGGGGCGAGCGUUGUCCGGAAUUACUGGGCGUAAAGGGCGCGCAGGCGGCCAAUUAAGUCAGAUGUGAAACCCCCGGGCUUAACCUUGGGCUUGCAUCUGAAACUGACUGGCUUGAGGGCAGGAGAGGAAAGCGGAAUUCCCAGUGUAGCGGUGAUAUGCGUAGAUAUUGGGAGGAACACCAGUGGCGAAGGCGGCUUUCUGGACUGAACCUGACGCUGAGGCGCGAAAGCCAGGGUAGCGAACGGGGUUAGAUACCCCGGUAGUCCUGGCCGUAAAUGAUGGAUACUAGGUGUGGGAGGUAUCGACCCCUUCCGUGCCGCAGUUAACACAUUAAGUAUCCCGCCUGGGGAGUACGGUCGCAAGGCUGAA